GGACCCGCACAAGCAGCGGAGCAUGUUGUUUAAUUCGAAGAUACGCGAAGAACCUUACCAAGGCUUGACAUUUAGUGCAUAGUAUAGAGAUAUAUGAAAUGAUAGCAAUAUCACACUAAAACAGAUGGUGCAUGGUUGUCGUCAGCUCGUGUCGUGAGAUGUUGGGUUAAGUCCCGCAACGAGCGCAACCCUUGUCAUUAGUUGCCAAUAUUAAGUUAGGAACUCUAAUGAGACUGCCGUAGAUAAUACGGAGGAAGGUGGGGAUGACGUCAAAUCAUCAUGCCUCUUACGCCUUGGGCUACAAACGUGCUACAAUGGUCGGUACAAAGAGAAGCGAGAUAGUAAUAUGGAGCAAACCUCAGAAAACCGAUCUCAGUUCAGACUGUGGGCUGAAACUCGCCCACACGAAGUCGGAGUUGCUAGUAAUCCCAAAUCAGAAUGUUG
rnacentral:rRNA from 1 species